rnacentral:rRNA from 1 species
AUUGAACGCUGGCGGCAGGCCUAACACAUGCAAGUCGAACGAGUGGCGGACGGGUGAGUAAUGUCUGGGAAACUGCCCGAUGGAGGGGGAUAACUACUGGAAACGGUAGCUAAUACCGCCUACCAUCGGAUGUGCCCAGAUGGGAUUAGCUAGUAGGUGGGGUAACGGCUCACCUAGGCGACGAUCCAUAGCUGGUCUGAGAGGAUGACAAGCCACACUGAACCUGAGACACGGUCCAGAGUCCUACGGGAGGCAGCAGUGGGGAAUAUUGCACAAGGGGCGCAAGCCGUAUGCAGCCAUGCCGCGUGUAGGAAGAAGGCCUUCGGGUUGUAAAGUACUUUCAGCGAGGAGGCGUUAAUCGCAGAAGAAGCAUCGGCUAACUCCGGGCCAGCAGCGGCGGUAAUUC